CAGGGCCUCGCAGGGGACGGGUGGGCUGCCCGCAGCGGGCUGUUCCCGCCAAGGGCCUGCGCGCGGCUCGUGGAGGGGCUGCAAACAGCCAGUUGGCCAGGCUCCGUCUUUGCCUUGUUUCAGAAGAGUUUGUUUUUCCAGACUCUAUCCAAGUCUGUUUUAAUCCACCAAAAGAGGAGCUAAGUUUGAUAAAUAAAAGAAGAUUAAAAAUGGUAGAGAAAAGUGUUUUUCCCCGUUCCCAGGAGAAGCCUGCCAGAACCGAAGUGGAGGAACAAAAAUAGACAUACUCGCCAGUCGGAUGCGCUCGCGGCCUCUCUUCCACGAAAAAGGCGGCGCCGUGGUCCCGCGGAGCCCUCGCGGCCUGGGAGGCAACUCACCUCCCGCCCUGAUGGAGAUGCACCUGUGACUUUCAAGGCGGCAGUGCUGGACGGGGUCAGAGUGACGAGAGUGGCAGAGGGGACCUUGGACCAGCCCUGGUCAGGAGGCGGCAUCUGGGCGGCCCGGAGACUGAAAACGUUACAGCAGAGGGGGCAGUGUCACCUGCCACCUCACAGGUAUCGCCUCCUGUAAGCAUCGCCCCUUCUCAGGGUGGUUCUCAGUGGGGCCUCGGUCUUGCCUGGGAGCCCGCUGUUCGAAAUGCAGAUUCUGGGCCCCCCAGCCACUCAGCUGGAGACUCCGGGCGUGGGGGGCCGGUUCCUCCGUCUCUCUCCGGGGGUCUCGCGUCUCGCAUGUGGAAAGCCACUGUGCUGGGUAGUGUCCCCCAGCCCACUUCUUUAGUGGGCAAAAUGGAGUGAACUAGACACCCUACACGUGACGUCUGCUCAGGGACAGACACGGGGCCGGGUGAGGCUCUGCUCGUCCAGAGCGAACCAGGCGUCCUGGCUCCCGGCGCGUCCACACCACGUGCUCUCCCUUCUGGAUCCUCCAGGUCCUCAGAUGGGUGGGGACCCUUGGGUCCCCAGUCCUGGGUGACUGACGGGGACACUGGAGCCUGAGGGGGUGGGGCCAGCUUCCAAGCCGAAGCGGUGUCCAGAGAGGCCCUGGAGCUUUCCCCGACCAGCGCUGGGGGCUGUCAAGCCCUGGCCGGGUUGCACUUUGCUUAACAUGAAACGUUAUGGGGAAGAUGUCAGGAUUUUAGCCAAGUCUCUGGAGACGAUUCGAGAUGCCCCUGCCCCCACCCCCUCCCUGCUCCGCUUCCNGGAGCUGUAGCCGCUGGCCUAUGCCACAGCCACAGCAAUUUGGGAUCCAAGCCAUGUCUGCCACCUACACAACAGCUCCAGCAACGCCGGAUCCUUAACCCAUUGAGCAAGGCCAGGGAUUAA
rnacentral:lncRNA from 1 species